ACUCCUACGGGAGGCAGCAGUGGGGAAUAUUGCACAAUGGGCGCAAGCCUGAUGCAGCCAUGCCGCGUGUAUGAAGAAGGCCUUCGGGUUGUAAAGUACUUUCAGCGGGGAGGAAGGUGUUGAGGUUAAUAACCUCAGCAAUUGACGUUACCCGCAGAAGAAGCACCGGCUAACUCCGUGCCAGCAGCCGCGGUAAUACGGAGGGUGCAAGCGUUAAUCGGAAUUACUGGGCGUAAAGCGCACGCAGGCGGUCUGUCAAGUCGGAUGUGAAAUCCCCGGGCUCAACCUGGGAACUGCAUUCGAAACUGGCAGGCUAGAGUCUUGUAGAGGGGGGUAGAAUUCCAGGUGUAGCGGUGAAAUGCGUAGAGAUCUGGAGGAAUACCGGUGGCGAAGGCGGCCCCCUGGACAAAGACUGACGCUCAGGUGCGAAAGCGUGGGGAGCAAACAGGAUUAGAAACCCCUGUAGUCCCAUGA
rnacentral:rRNA from 1 species